GAUGAAGAACGCAGCGAAAUGCGAUACUUGGUGUGAAUUGCAGAAUCCCGUGAACCAUCGAGUCUUUGAACGCAAGUUGCGCCCGAAGCCAUUAGGCCGAGGGCACGCCUGCCUGGGCGUCACACGUCGUUGCCCCCCCAUCUACUCCUUCGGGAUUGCGGGUGGCGGAUGAUGGCCUCCCGUGCGCCUCGUCGCGCGGUUGGCAUAAAUGCCAAGUCCUCGGCGACGCACGCCACGACAAUCGGUGGUUGCGAAACCUCGGUUGCCCGUCGUGUGCGGUCGUCGCGCAUCGAGGGCUCGAAAAAAUUGCCGGGCUCCGGCUCGGCUUUCAACGCGACCCCAGGUCAGGCGGGGUUACCCGCUGAAUUUAAGCAUAUCAAUAAGCGGAGGA
rnacentral:misc_RNA from 1 species